CAAAAAACACCUCUCAAUUUUCUCUCUAUUCUCUCAAGGAACAAAUCACUUUUUUCUCAAGAACACACAACAACAUUUCAAAAGUUCAUCUCCCUCCAACUCUCUCAAUCCACCGCAUGUCACUCUCUAACGCGAGCAGCUAUGGUUCACCGCCAUCAGUUCCGAUUUGCCGCCACCCACUCCGACACUUCCAUCCUCCACUCUGGCCACCAUAUCAUGCGGAACUCCCUCUCACGGUCUCGCGAUUUCUGGCCACAGCUCCUUCCUCUUCCAUCAAUUUUCGGACGAAUUUAUCACAUUCUCUCAUAUGUUUCACUUUCCGAUAAGGUUCUUGAAUUCUAUUUGAUAUAA